UACAGAGGGGGCCAGCGUUAUUCGGAAUUAUUGGGCGUAAAGGGCGCGUAGGCGGCUUUGUAAGUCGGGGGUGAAAGCCUGUGGCUCAACCACAGAAUUGCCUUCGAUACUGCAUGGCUUGAGACCGGAAGAGGUAAGUGGAACUGCGAGUGUAGAGGUGAAAUUCGUAGAUAUUCGCAAGAACACCAGUGGCGAAGGCGGCUUACUGGUCCGGUUCUGACGCUGAGGCGCGAAAGCGUGGGGAGCAAACAGG
rnacentral:rRNA from 1 species